rnacentral:lncRNA from 1 species
AAGGUAAUUACAUAAUUAAAAUUUAAUUCAAUAAGUCCCAAAUAAUCCAAACACACAUUUUGUCCUUAAAAAAAAAUUAAACUAAAUAGUUACAUCUCAACUAAGUGAAAUUUGCUGCAAAAAGGUCCCUAAUUUACAGCCUACUCUUUCUUCCCAUUCCAUCAAAGCCACCUCACAGCUGUAACCUGCAGAGACCAAAACAACUUAUUUUAAAAGCACUUUUUAAAAGCACUUAAAAAACUGAAAAAACAACUAAUAAAUCACUCAGUUCGAAGCUUUAUCCAGAGGAUUAAUUGGAACAUCUGAAAAGGCAUUGCAACAAUGGGUUAAACAAGAACAGAUCAAAUCCCACAUAAUCUGGGAUGAGAAAAUAAAAAAAAACAGGAGUGCUUUAAGGCUUAAUCUCUUCUUGAUAAUAACAACAGAUGAGAG